AAUACCUCUAUCGCCAAGGCAUGUACUCCACUGGCCAACUCCUCUUCUAACAGUCCAUAAAUUAACUUGUGUCUCUGCAAUUUAAUUAAAAUUAGGACAAAAUUAAAUCAUCCCUCCGUGUAUGAUAAUAUACCUUGAUCAGAGGCAUCCCUUCGAAUUUACUCGAGACAACGACAACCCUGAAGUGGGUUUCGCUGCCUUUGGGCACACUGUGCAUGUAGGACUCGUUGACAAUUUCCAGAUGUUGUGGUUCUGCUCCAGUCCGGAUUUUUCGCUGGAUUGUCUCCGCAACAGGCCCUCCGGUUGAUUCCAUUCUUCCCGUCAAAAAUGAGUGUUUGACGAGUUGUGACAGUCUGACACGUCGAAGUAGAGCUGUCAUAUAAACACUGGAAAAUGUUUUCACUGCUUUUAUCUUUUAACUUUUCGAGCUAAAUUGUUAUGGACUGAAAUAAGCUUCUCAAAAUUAGAGUCAGAGUCAACUCAAUAAAAUAAAUAACGUCGCGCCACGCCCCCUCAAUGUGAGGCGAGUGGCGCGAGUUUGACAGAGGAGUACACAAGAUACACAAUGUAAUAUACGAUUAUAGCGUUUGUGAAACCUACCACGGCCGACGACCUGUACCCUGCGUACCUUGAGCAAAUUAAUCCUCCAUCUAUGUGGUUGAAUUAUGAAUUAUUGACCUUGGACGCCUGGAGCGCAGCCGCUAGUGGGUGUUAUUUACUGCAGUGUGGCCGAUACCCAGUGACCAGUGGACAUGGCGGACCGGACACAAUUAAUCUGCUGCUACCACAUAGCGACCUGCAGGACAAUUUCGAGAUUUCCAACACCUCGAUCAUAGCCGGUUGUGCCGCUGAACUAUGCGCUCGCUUGGAACGCCGAAAAGGAAAACAAACAGGAUUCAGAAUUCAGGUCAACCAAGACGAGCAACAGACGGCAUGCAACGGCUGCUGCCCAGUCCAAACAGCUGUCCAGUGGCCACCGUUUCAUAGCACUACCUCGAGUUCUCGGCCUGGCAGCGAUCAGCUGUACCUGGUGUGGCCUGAGACUUUGGUGGCUGCCUGAUACUAUUUUUGGC